rnacentral:rRNA from 1 species
UACCAGCUCUCCGAGUGGUGUGGAUGUUUAUUGGGCCUAAAGCAUCCGUAGCUGGCCAAGUUAGUCCCCUGUUAAAUCCACCGAUUCAAUCGUCGGAGUGCGGGGGAUACUGCUCGGCUAGGGGACGGGAGAGGCCGACGGUAUUUUCGGGGUAGGGGUGAAAUCCUAUAAUCCCGGGAAGACCACCAGUGGCGAAGGCUGUCGGCUAGAACGCGCCCGACGGUGAGGGAUGAAAGCUGGGGUAGCGAACCGG